rfam:Picea glauca, whole genome shotgun sequence.
AUAUCUUUAAUGGCCUUUUGUUAAGAUAAAGUGCAGUAUCUGUUCUUGUCAGUUUAAUAUCUGAUACGUGGUUCAAAGAACGAUGUGAUAUUAAAUGUAUCCCUCUAGGGUGAGGGCUCACCUCCAAUAGCUUGCUAUUGGGUUUCUCGAGUGAGUAAACAGUUUAGUUCGAUUGAUUUGUUCCCAGUAUGG